UUUGUUCGGCAUUUCGGCUGUAGGAAAUGUGAUCCUGGGUGUGCUUUUGAUUGUUUUCAUUCUUCCAGGUUCUCAGGUUCCUAGUGAGGGGCUGAAGGCAAGGAGAGGGAUCCAAAGUUGUCUACAGAAAUGUAUUCCUUGUGGAUCAGCUGAAGGCUACAUAACAGCAAAUCUGACUCUGAAUCCCAGCACAGCUCAUCCCCAGCUCUACAUAUCCUCUGAUUUGAAAAGCGUGAGAUGGAGAGGCAUGAAUCAGCAAGUCCACGGCAGUCUUCUGAGAUACGACGUUAUGGCCAGCG